rnacentral:rRNA from 1 species
GGGGUUAAUUUAAUAAAUAAUAAAUAUGAAAAAAAAUUUUAAUAUAAUAUAUAUAAUGGGGGUUAAAGUAUUUUUAUAGAAAAAAUUUUAAAAUUUAUAGUGAAAUAGUAUUGUGAAAGAAAUAUUGAAAAUAUUGAAAUAAAAAUUUAUUAAAAAGUAAAUUUUGUUUAUUGUAUCUUGUGUAUCAGAGUUUUUUAAAAAAAAAAAUUGGGUAAAUUUAUUUCGAAAUUUAAAGAGUUAAUUAAUUAAAAAAGUUAAUGUUGCAUAAUUAUUUUGAAUAAUUAAUUGGAAAUGAAAAGUUAAUCGUUUUGAAUGAUAUCUAAUUUUUUUAGAAAAAAGUUUAAUUUUAAAUAAAUUUUAAAAAUAAUUAUUAAUUAAUUAUUUUUAAAAUUUAAUUUUAUAUUUUAGGGGAUAAGCUUUAAAUUAGAAUUUUAUAAUAAAAGUAAAAAAAAAUUGAAAUUUUUAAAAUUUAUAUUUUUUAUAAAUUAUAGUUUAUUAUUAAUAAUUUCAUUUAAUUAAAAUUUUAUUUUAAUUUAAAUUUUUAUAAAAAAAUAUUUUUUAAUUUAAUAAAAAUAGGUAUAAUGAUAAAAUUAGUAUAUAAUUUAUAAAUAAAAUAAAAAUUAUUUAAAUUAAUAAAAAGGAAUUCGGCAAAAAU